rnacentral:rRNA from 1 species
ACAUUGGGGGAUAGCCUUUCGAAAGGGAGAUUAAUACCGCAUAAGACAGUAACUAGGCAUCUAGUAGCUGUUAAAGAUUUAUCGAUGUAAGCUGGGCAUGCGUCCAAUUAGCUAGUUGGUGAGGUAACGGCUCACCAAGGCAAUGAUUGGUAGGGGAACUGAGAGGUCAAUCCCCCACACUGGCACUGAGAUACGGGCCAGACUCCUACGGGAGGCAGCAGUAGGGAAUAUUGGGCAAUGGACGCAAGUCUGACCCAGCCAUGCCGCGCGCAGGAUGAAGGCGUUAUGCGUUGUAAACUGCUUUUAUACAGGAAGAAACGAUUCAUGCGAGAGGCAUUGACGGUACUGUAUGAAUAAGCACCGGCUAACUCCGUGCCAGCAGCCGCGGUAAUACGGAGGGUGCAAGCGUUGUCCGGAUUUAUUGGGUUUAAAGGGUGCGCAGGUGGUUUAUUAAGUCAGUGGUGAAAGACGGUCGCUCAACGAUUGCAGUGCCAUUGAAACUGGUAGACUUGAGUAAAGUAGAGGUGGGCGGAAUUGAUAGUGUAGCGGUGAAAUGCAUAGAUAUUAUCAAGAACUCCAAUUGCGUAGGCAGCUCACUUGGCUUUUACUGACACUCAUGCACGAAAGUGUGGGUAUCAAACAGGAUUAGAUACCCUGGUAGUCCACACUGUAAACGAUGAUAACUAGGUGUCGGCCGAAUCUGGUCGGUGCCACAGCGAAAGCGUUAAGUUAUCCACCUGGGGAGUACGCCGGCAACGGUGAAACUCAAAGGAAUUGACGGGGGUCCGCACAAGCGGUGG